GUCACAGGAUACAAAAUCAAGGUGCAAAAAUUGCUAGCAUCCCCAUACACCAACAGUAUUCAAGCCUAGAGCCGAAUCACAAACAAACUUUCAUUCAUAAUUACCACAAAAAGAAUAAAACGAGGAGGAACACAGCUAACAAGGAAAGGUCUCUACAAGGAGAACUAAGCGUGCCUUGAUGGGAGAGCAUAUCAGCUAUGGAAUAUUCAUAUGACUGGAUCACACACAGCAGCUAAAAUGAAUGGAGUUGCAUGUCAGGAUGUGGAUGAAUCUCAAAAAUGUAAUGUUGAACAGCAACCAAAAGCUAUAAUUAUUUAUUAUGUCACUUUAACAAAUAACAUUUCCGGAUAACGUUUCCUUCGGCUGAUGGCACAAAGAUGCUUGGCUUCUUGGUGGUGUGACUCAGGGCCUAGGCAUGUGGCUGCACGUCCAAUCUUACUGCAUCUUACCAGUGUGUCCCUUGGAGACAGGAUGCCACCCAGCAGUGUGCCCACUCUCUUAGGAGUGAAGUGAACACAGCAGCCUGGGAAGUGGGCACUUCUGGGGGAGAAGAAAGUUCAUGGAGAAAUUCCCCUUAGGAGUCUCAUAGAGAAGCCUCCGGAAGAGAGUUUUAAUCACCCGGAGCUACCACCUGUGUUCUGCAGGCAGAGAAAUGAAGGCUUGGGGAGGAGAAGGACCUCCCGGCAUCCUAGUUUGUGGGUUGUCAGAUCUGUGAGCAGCACGUGUGGAUGCUCAUCACCAGGCAAGCUCUGGGUAUGACAGCCAGGGGACCCUGCAGAAAUGGUGGAGUUCCACUGGAGUGGGGCUCGUGGGGGUCAGACAAACAAGCUGAAAACACAGCUCAGGGUGAGGAGUCUGUGUCGCCUACCACCCACUUGAGGAAGGUGUUUCAAACCCAGACUGAUCAAGCAGCAGAAACUGAGGUCUCCCUGAGGGAUCACAGGCAGGUGCUGGGCUGGCAAGGGGCACCUGAAGAGAUAUUUUCAGCUCAGAUGGCAGAAUCUGGAAGAACAUGGCAGGAAAAUCUCAGAGGAAGCAAACGCCGCAUGGUUUUGUCUCAGAAGUGCCCACAGUUUCUCUGGACCUUAGGAAUUCCGGGGGCCGUUGACCAACAGGGCUUGGCUCAGUUGUCCCUGGCUCAGUCAUGAUGACAUCUGGCUGAACCCCAUCCACUAACCCCACUCUGUGUCAACCCUGUCAAGCCUGGGUGCAUGGAUGGGCUCCGAAUGGGCUGACUCUGCCCUUCCGCUAAGAAGCCCAAGAACUAAGUUGGUUCCCCACCGUUGACUUUUAACUGGAGUUUCAGUGAGUUGACGGUCUGAUGUGCCAAAUGGACCAGAGUUUCCGAGAGUAAAUGUGUAACUGAUGGGGGCUUCUUGGUAGAUUCUUCAGAGCCACAAAAAAGGUCAGUUAUGACAGCUCAGCCCUGGUAUUUCCCCAAACAGGAAGGCAUUCAAUAGUUUCUUCCUUGAUCCAUGGGUCUCAAGCUCGCAGUCCACCACCGACCCACCAACGCUCCUCAGGCUAGAACAACAGUACCAACUGCUCAUGGUGACAGUCCCCCUCAACAAACUUUCAUUCACAAUUGCCACAAAAAGAAUAAAACGAGGAGGAACACAGCUAACAAGGGAAAGUCUCUACAAGGAGAACUAAGCGUGCCUUGAUGGGAGAGCAUAUCAGCUAUGGAAUAGUCAUAUGACUGGAUCACACACAGCAGCUAAAAUGAAUGGAGUUGCAUGUCAGGAUGUGGAUGAAUCUCAAAAAUGAGACCAAAAAAGAAGAAGAAGAAGAAGAAGAAGAAGAAGAAG